rnacentral:rRNA from 1 species
UACGUAGGGGGCGAGCGUUGUCCGGAUUUAUUGGGCGUAAAGCGCUCGCAGGUGGUUCGUCGCGUCGUGCGUGAAAGACCCCGGCUCAACUGGGGAGGGUCGUGCGAUACGGGCGGACUGGAGGCCAGUAGGGGGAUGCGGAAUUCCGGGUGUAGCGGUGAAAUGCGUAGAUAUCUGGAGGAACACCGGUGGCGAAGGCGGCAUCCUGGACCGGUAUUGACGCUGAGGUGCGAAAGCCAGGGGAGCAAACGGG